GGCUCUGUAGCUCAGAGGUUAGAACACUGCUCUUUUAAACCAGAGGUCUUGAGUUCAAGUCUCAGCUGGGCCU